rnacentral:rRNA from 1 species
GGACGAACGCUGGCGGCGUGCUUAACACAUGCAAGUCGAACGGAAAGGCCCUGCUUUUGUGGGGUGCUCGAGUGGCGAACGGGUGAGUAACACGUGAGUAACCUGCCCUUGACUUUGGGAUAACUUCAGGAAACUGGGGCUAAUACCGGAUAGGAGCUCCUGCUGCAUGGUGGGGGUUGGAAAGUUUCGGCGGUUGGGGAUGGACUCGCGGCUUAUCAGCUUGUUGGUGGGGUAGUGGCUUACCAAGGCUUUGACGGGUAGCCGGCCUGAGAGGGUGACCGGCCACAUUGGGACUGAGAUACGGCCCAGACUCCUACGGGAGGCAGCAGUGGGGAAUAUUGCACAAUGGGCGGAAGCCUGAUGCAGCAACGCCGCGUGCGGGAUGACGGCCUUCGGGUUGUAAACCGCUUUCGCCUGUGACGAAGCGUGAGUGACGGUUAUGGGUAAAGAAGCACCGGCUAACUACGUG